CCUGCGCACGUUCUCCACCUCGCUCGCUCACUCCCUCCAUUAGCCUUCUUCUCAAAUCGAAUCCAUAGCGAUCUCAGCUUCUCGAAUCGAAUCCAUUGCUCCAGCUUGGCCUCUCCUCGGGAGCAGGUGCACCACAUGGAUCGCUUUUGGUUUGGGUGUCAGUUCUUCCACAUGAUUUCAUCACUACCAUGCUACAUCUCUGUGUCGACAAGUAGAAAGGGUUAAUAGUCAGGCGAUAUCUUCCCUGUCAACAAAAAUUCUUCUUUGAUGUGAGGACAGUGGAUCAAUUCCAGUGCCAAACACACUGAUAAAGUUGCAUGGCAGUAUUUAUUAUUGCAUGUGCAUGGAAAAAAGGCAGGUCACGGGUCACAUUUCACUUCCUGCUUACUGCCACCACCGUUGGAUGAAUGAUCUCAUGGUGCUAAGUAUCGGAAGGAGAACGAAGAGGACAGCAGUGAUGAUGGUGUCUUAAAUUUUUUUUUUCUUUCAGGUACCAGUCAGAAAAGAGAACAUCUUUGUUCAAUGACUCGCCAGCAGCUGGCCAUGGUAAAUGUUAAUCUUGACACUGUUGCUGCCUGGAGGCCCUGCUUUGGCUUUUAUUGAAUGCAAUGAUGACUUUGUAACUUUCUACUUGGUUGAUCUCAAAUAAUUGAGCUGAGCUAGGUUAGGUUCAUUCUGAA